rnacentral:rRNA from 1 species
GAUGAACGCUAGCUACAGGCUUAACACAUGCAAGUCGAGGGGUAACGAGAGGAAAGCUUGCUUUCCUUGUCGACGACCGGCGCACGGGUGAGUAACGCGUAUCCAACCUGCCCCCAACUAGGGAAUAACCUUGCGAAAGUAAGACUAAUACCCUAUAAUUUCACCAGAUGUCAUCUGACGAGGAAUAAAGAUUUAUCGGUUGUGGAUGGGGAUGCGUCCGAUUAGCUUGUUGGCGGGGUAACGGCCCACCAAGGCAACGAUCAGUAGGGGUUCUGAGAGGAAGGUCCCCCACAUUGGAACUGAGACACGGUCCAAACUCCUACGGGAGGCAGCAGUGAGGAAUAUUGGUCAAUGGGCGGAAGCCUGAGCCAGCCAAGUAGCGUGCAGGAUGACGGCCCUAUGGGUUGUAAACUGCUUUUAUACAGGGAUAAAGUUAGCCACGUGUGGUUAUUUGUAGGUACUGUAUGAAUAAGGACCGGCUAAUUCCGUGCCAGCCGCCGCUGUAA